GAUGAACGCUAGCUACAGGCUUAACACAUGCGAGUCGCGGGGCAGCAUGGGGGUUGCUUGCAAUCCCCGAUGGCGACCGGCGCACGGGUGAGUAACGCGUAUCCAACCUGCCCUUCACCACGGGAUAACCCGGCGAAAGUCGGACUAAUACCGUAUGUUGUCCAUUGACGGCCUCCGAUUUGGACGAAAGGUUUGGCGGUGAAGGAUGGGGAUGCGUCCGAUUAGCUGGACGGCGGGGUGACGGCCCACCGUGGCGACGAUCGGUAGGGGUUCUGAGAGGAAGGUCCCCCACACUGGAACUGAGACACGGUCCAGACUCCUACGGGAGGCAGCAGUGAGGAAUAUUGGUCAAUGGGCGUAAGCCUGAACCAGCCAAGUAGCGUGCAGGAUGACGGCCCUAUGGGUUGUAAACUGCUUUUAUGCGGGGAUAAAGUGGCCCACGUGUGGGUUUUUGCAGGUACCGCAUGAAUAAGGACCGGCUAAUUCCGUG
rnacentral:rRNA from 1 species